rnacentral:rRNA from 1 species
AUUGAACGCUGGCGGCAGGCCUAACACAUGCAAGUCGAGCGAGCGGCGGACGGGUGAGUAAUGUAUGGGAAACUGCCUGAUGGAGGGGGAUAAAUACUGGAAACGGUAGCUAAUACCGCAUACCAUCAGAAGUGCCCAGGUGGGAUUAGAGAGUUGGUGGGGUAAAGGCCUACCAAGGCGACGAUCUGUAGCGGGUCUGAGAGGAUGAUCCGCCACACUGGGAAUGAGACACGGCCCAGACGCCGACGGGUGGCAGCAGUGGGGAAUAUUGGACAAUGGGGGGAAGCCUGAUCCAGCCAUGCCGCGUGUGUGAAGAAGGCCUUAUGGUUGUAAAGCACUUUAAGCGAGGAGGCGUUACUCGCAGAAUAAGCACCGGCUAACUCUGUGCCAGCAGCCGCGGUAAUUC